UCCCUGGUAGUCCAGUGGUUAGGACUCAGUGCUUUCACUGUCAAGGGCCCAGGUUCAAUUCCUGGUCAGGGAG